UUGCAAAAAAAUAAUUUAUCAACUCACAUAGUUAUCAUUCAUCACUGUUUGAAAAUGUAAGUUGAAAAAUAAACUCUUAAAGCAUGAAAUAAGAUAAAGAAUCAGUAAAUUCGAUUUUAAUGUGGGUAUAUUAUCAGUGAACUGAUCAUUAAACAUUUGUAAUCAUUCAAAAAAUAUUGGCCCCUUUCAUAAUGAUGUUGUUCAGAAAUGAAGGCCACAAUGCUAAUGUUAUCCACACGAUGGCGCCACAGGAUAGCAAAUACUUCAAUAUCUGUUCAAAGAUUUUAAAAUGUUUCAUUUAUGUGCAUAAAUAUAAAAUGCAUAUACAUGCAUUCUAUUUUCAUAAACUUUAAUAAAGCCCAAUAUAGUAUUUAUGCAAAACUGUUAUCUCCUAAGUACCAUUACUUUUUUCUUAUUUUAAUAAUAUUGACAACAUAUUUCUCAAGUUAUCACACAUAAAGUGAAGAAAGGAAACUAUAUAAGUUAUUUAUUUUCAUAUUGUCAAUAUAAUAGUACUCACAUAAGGACUCAUAAGCUGUUGUCAUAGCCUAGGCUUUUUAUUAGAACAGAAAACAGCAAGGGUCCACAGAAAAAUACUUCUCUAGGUUUUUUAUUUAUUUAUUUAUUUAUUUAUUUAUUUAUUUAUUUAUUUAUUUAUUUUUUGCGGCAAGGCAGCUCAAGAACGUUGGACACACAAGUAAUGUGGCUCUUUUGCCCCAAGGCCAAGCCAACAUCAAAGUUAGUUCACUAACUUUACAUUCUAGUUAUUAUUAUUCUUCUGAGACUAAAAUUAUCAACUCUAUCUCCUCCUAGAGCUUUAACUCUACAGACUCCAAACUCAGCCCAGCUCUUCAGACUGAUCUCGCCGGGUGUGCUAUAUCUUUUCUAACUGAUCAGACUAAUGGUUUUCAUAAAAAUGAAGAUUAAAAAUCAUAAAAAUCCCAUAGACUUUCAUUGACGGAAUGUUCAGAUGAGCCAAGCUCCAACUGUCAAAAUUCAAAUCUAAACAAACUGAAGCCCAUUAUACUC
ensembl:lncRNA